AUGGCUCCGGGAGCCUGUUGUAAGGACACCAGAAUAGGUCAGGCAUCACCUGCCCCCAGCGGCCUGGAUCCCAGCUACGGGCCCUCAACCCUGGCCUCAUUGCUAGGGGGCGUCGGGAAGUCGGCCUCUUCAUGGUGCCACAGGGCAGUGGUGAAGGUGGACUCUGGCCCACCUUCUACCUCCUACCUCUGAUUCCCCAAGGAAGAAAGAGGGGCUGUUUUCAAUAGUUUCUGAGCUGGCCAAGACCAACAAAACCCCUUUUGGACAGUCCUGAACUGUUCUAGCCUAAUCUGGAGGAGCCUCUAGGGAAUUCCCACUAAAGUCAUGCUUCCUCAUACUGACUGCUGUAGGCAGAGUCCCUCUGGAAGGGUCUGGAGGGUGAACGAAAGGAAACUCAUCUAUUCCAACUGGCCCCAGUCCAUUGUUCAUGAAAGGAAUGUGAGACCUUAGGAGAAGAAGGGCACUGGCUCCUGCCUCUCGGGCCUUUGGUGGAUAGUAACAACACUCGGAAAGUGUACUCUGUGCCUAGAGCCUGUUAAAUAUUCACGGAGCGUGUUAAAUAUUCACUCAUUUCAUCUUUUAAUCAGCCUCAUGCUGAAGAAACAGAUGCUCGGAGAAGUCAAGGCACUUGUCAAAGAUCACAAACUGACUCAUAGCUGGAAGGAAGUGGGUCUUAUUAAAGACCUUAUGUGCUGGAUAAGUGUUGGACGUAAGGCUCUGACACUUCUGAAGGGACAAGUCUCUGUCCCAUUUGAGCCAUGCUUACUCAGUCCCAGCAGUGAAGCUGGUCAAAUAACAAAAUAAGACGGAGACGCAUCUUGUCAACUCUGGAGGACUUUGCGGAGGUGCUGAUGAUGGAACUCAAGGCCAUGUACAUCCGGGAGAGAUGGCUCGGUGGUUAAGAGCACUGCCUGUUCUUCCAAAGGUCCUGAGUUCAAUUCCAAGCAACCACAUGGUGGCUCACAACCAUCUGUAAUUAGAAAAAUAAAAUGGUACCACUGAGCUACUGGACAUCCCAGAUUUGGAUUUAGU